rnacentral:hammerhead_ribozyme from 1 species
AUCCAGCUGACGAGUCCCAAAUAAGACGAAAUGUGCUUUGUCUUGGAU